AGUUAUGCGCUUAAAAAGUAAUUUUAACCACUAGGAAAUGUUAAUGAUUAACUCACAUUUGUUUCUGUUUCACUCCAUGACAAAACCUACAGGACACCCUGCAGAGAGGAAAACUCACAUUAAUAUAUCCAGAAUUUUAUUUUCAGAAGCUUCUGGUAAUGAAAACUUUAUUAUGAGGUGUCUUCAUGUUACCACCGCGCAGUAGCAAAGUUAAAAUAUUCUAAAGAUUAGUCUAUUUUCUCAUACUGGUUUUUUUUUCUAAUGCUUUUGCUAACAUGUUGUCUAAAUUUAAACCUUAAAACGAUCACAUGACCCAAUAUGCGAACUCUGCCUAUUAAUUCUAAAACUUUUAAUAACAGUUUGCUUAUGUUUGAGACUUAAAAAAAAAACAAAACAACAUACUGCACUAUGCCCAUCCUAGAUAUUUUCUAGGAUCAAAGUCUAUCUGGAGCAGGGCAGGCUGUGGUUGAGGGUGGUUGGGUCAGCAGGGAAGAGCCUUAUGAUCAGCUCUGAGCGCCUCCACGGUGAGGAGCACCCAGAAUUAAGAGAGACCAGGCACCAAAGGGUGGGGUAACUCAAGGUUCCAUUUAGAAGACUCCAGCCUCGGCCGCCCGUGACUCCUCGACGAGCCCCACCUCUCUAGAUUCCAGUAUCCGGCCCGCCCCUUCCUCCCAGGCUACCACGGUAUGGCCCGCCGAGCUCCCGGGCCGCGGGAAGUGACGGAAACAAAAACUUGGUACACAAAGAAGGGCUGGGUCAGAAGUGAGGCCCCACCCUGCCAAGAAGGACGAGUUUUCUAGAAAAACUUAGCGGCAAGUUAACGGGAAGCGCGACAACAGAGUUCUUAGGAUUGUGGGGGGCACCCUGCCGCCAGAAAAUCUCAUCCUUUGUCCUUUGAGAGGCCUCCUUGAAGCCGAAGGCUCUAAGUGCCCCUGGGCAACCUUUAACCCGAUCUCCAUUUCGGGCCCUCACUGAUGGCAGCCAUGACAGUUGCAUCGGAAAUAUCGAAUAGCAGCGGCCAGAGUCUCCCGGAAGUGACGCAACGCGGAGGGAUCCGCGUUCGGCCGAGGGAGACCGAAGUGAACUGGUUCCCGGAAGCCGCUGCAGCUGGGCAGCUGGUGGCGGGGCGGAGGAAGGUUGGGGAGAGAGGUUGUGGGUCUUACAACCAACCCCAACGCGUUUUACGUGUCGGGCGGGCAUUGUGCUGAACACCUGAUUGGCAAGCCAUUUAAUCCCUGCCUUACUACAAUCCCAGCAGUCAGGAAUUUAUUACUUCCAUUUUACAUAUGGGGAAACUAAGGCUAAAAGAGGGCGAGUAAAUUUGUCCGAGAUCGUAUAGCUGGUACUUGGUGGACGUGGUGUAACUCAGACACCACAUUCUCUGUGGUGACUCCCUUUUGUAAAACCAGAGCUGCUGGCCCUUGGCAUCCUGUGACUUCUAAAGCAGUGACAAAACAAGAAAAAGAAGAUAGAAGGGAAAAAUGAGAAGUGAUCACGGGAAGAAGAAAAUGUGGAGGAACAAAGACACAUGGUGAUAUUGGGGUUGGAGUUACUUUGGAACUCCAGGGUGGCAUGUAACAGCCUUCUUAUCCAAGUCCUGGCACAGGCCUGGUUACCUACUAAAAGGAUGCAGAGAGUCUUAGGAAGAAUUUGAUGUGAUUGGAGGUGGGGAAAGGUACCCUAAAAUACUUAGGUGGAAUUGUGUAGUCCAAUAAACACAAUAAUAAAGAAGGCUUCCUAAAGACAAAGUGAGGAUUUCUCAGUGUGCUUUUUAUUAAAGGAUGGAGAAAAUCUUGCAUUUGGCUACAGGUUGACAUUUUCAAAAGCCUACUCUGAGACAAUUAUGUAUCAUACACAUUUUUAAAGUUUUUAGAAAAUUGUCAAUGCUGUACAUGCUACUUAAGAAAACAUGGAAUAAAAAAAAAAAAAAGAAGUGAA